CACUUUAAGCGGUGGAUCACUCGGCUCAUGGGCCGAUGAGAAGAACGUAGCAAAUUGUGCGUCAUCUUGUGAACUGCAAGACACAUGAACAUCGACAUUUUGUACGCAUAUCGCAUAUCGCAGUCCAGGCUAGAAGGUACUUUAAUUAUAUUUGGGAAUGC
rfam:Glossina fuscipes fuscipes unplaced genomic scaffold Scaffold24, whole genome shotgun sequence.